AAAUUGAUAAUGAUAUUACUAAUUGAUUGGUUAAUCUACCUUAUCUUAACUCUUCUGAUUUCUAUCAUUAUUACGAAAACAUCAUUUUCAAUAAUAAAGAACAUGGAGAAUGAUUUUUUGGCUAAUAAUAUGAUAUUUUACAUUGAAAAAGAAAUAGUUCAACAUUUUAACACUAAUUCAAUUAUUGAUGAAUUUUUUUUAAUAAGGCCCAAAUAUAUUGAAAAAGGAAACGUUACAAAAAAAAACAAGGGGGUGGUAGGGGAAAA
rnacentral:lncRNA from 1 species